GACGAACGCUGGCGGCGUGCUUAACACAUGCGAGUCGAACGGAAAGGCCCUGCUUGCAGGGUACUCGAGUGGCGAACGGGUGAGUAACACGUGUGUGAUCUGCCCUGCACUUCGGGAUAAGCUUGGGAAACUGGGUCUAAUACCGGAUAGGAGCCAUCUUUAGUGUGGUGGUUGGAAAGUUUUUUCGGUGUAGGAUGAGCUCGCGGCCUAUCAGCUUGUUGGUGGGGUAAUGGCCUACCAAGGCGGCGACGGGUAGCCGGCCUGAGAGGGUGUACGGCCACAUUGGGACUGAGAUACGGCCCAGACUCCUACGGGAGGCAGCAGUGGGGAAUAUUGCACAAUGGGCGCAAGCCUGAUGCAGCGACGCCGCGUGGGGGAUGAAGGCCUUCGGGUUGUAAACUCCUUUCGCUAGGGACGAAGCUUUUUUGUGACGGUACCUAGAUAAGAAGCACCGGCUAACUACGUG
rnacentral:rRNA from 1 species